AACGAACGCUGGCGGCAGGCCUAACACAUGCAAGUCGAGCGAGGACUUCGGUUCUAGCGGCGGACGGGUGAGUAACGCGUGGGAAUGUGCCCUUCUCUAUGGAAUAGCCCUGGGAAACUGGGAGUAAUACCGUAUACGCCCUAUUGGGGAAAGAUUUAUCGGAGAAGGAUCAGCCCGCGUUGGAUUAGGUAGUUGGUGGGGUAAUGGCCUACCAAGCCGACGAUCCAUAGCUGGUUUGAGAGGAUGAUCAGCCACACUGGGACUGAGACACGGCCCAGACUCCUACGGGAGGCAGCAGUGGGGAAUCUUAGACAAUGGGGGCAACCCUGAUCUAGCCAUGCCGCGUGAGUGAUGAAGGCCUUAGGGUUGUAAAGCUCUUUCAGCUGGGAAGAUAAUGACGGUACCAGCAGAAGAAGCCCCGGCUAACUCCGUG
rnacentral:rRNA from 1 species